rnacentral:rRNA from 1 species
AUGGGAACGCGAAGAACCUUACCUACUCUUGACAUCCAGAGAACUUAGCAGAGAUGCUUUGGUGCCUUCGGGAACUCUGAGACAGGUGCUGCAUGGCUGUCGUCAGCUCGUGUUGUGAAAUGUUGGGUUAAGUCCCGCAACGAGCGCAACCCUUAUCCUUUGUUGCCAGCGGUUCGGCCGGGAACGUCAAAGGAGACUGCCAGUGAUAAACUGGAGGAAGGUGGGGAUGGACGUCAAGUCAUCAUGGCCCUUACGAGUAGGGCUACACACGUGCUACAAUGGCGCAUACAAAGAGAAGCGACCUCGCGAGAGCAAGCGGACCUCAUAAAGUGCGUCGUAGUCCGGAUUGGAGUCUGCAACUCGACUCCAUGAAGUCGGAAUCGCUAGUAAUCGUAGAUCAGAAUGCUACGGUGAAUACGUUCCCGGGUCUUGUACACACCG